CAACGCUGGCGGCGUGCCUAACACAUGCAAGUCGCACGAGAAAGGGGACUUCGGUCCCUGAGUACAGUGGCGCACGGGUGAGUAACACGUGAAUAAUCUACCUCCGAGUGGGGAAUAACUGAGAGAAAUCUUAGCUAAUACCGCAUAACACUUACGAGUCAAAGCAGCAAUGCGCUUGGAGAGGAGUUCGCGGCAGAUUAGUUAGUUGGCGGGGUAAUGGCCCACCAAGACGAUGAUCUGUAUCCGGCCUGAGAGGGCGCACGGACACACUGGAACUGAAACACGGUCCAGACUCCUACGGGAGGCAGCAGUGGGGAAUUUUGCGCAAUGGGGGAAACCCUGACGCAGCAACGCCGCGUGGAGGAUGAAAUCCCUUGGGAUGUNAACUCCUUUCGAUCGGGAAGAUAAUGACGGUACCGAGAGAAGAAGCCCCGGCUAACUUCGUGCCAGCAGCCGCGGU
rnacentral:rRNA from 1 species